rnacentral:rRNA from 1 species
GGAUUAGCGGCGGACGGGUGAGUAACACGUGAGUAACCUGCCUUAGACAUUGGGAUAGCCUCGGGAAACCGGGAUUAAUACCAAAUGAAAUCAUAGGUGCCCAUGCACUAAUGAUCAAAACUCCGGUGGUCUAAGAUGGACUCGCGUCCCAUUAGCUAGUUGGCGGGGCAACGGCCCACCAAGGCAACGAUGCGUAGCCGGCCUGAGAGGGCGGACGGCCACAUUGGGACUGAGACACGGCCCAGACUCC